GACGAACGCUGGCGGCGUGCUUAACACAUGCAAGUCGAACGGUGAACUCCGCUUGCGGGGGGAUCAGUGGCGAACGGGUGAGUAACACGUGGGCAACCUGCCCUCAGCUCUGGGAUAACUCCAAGAAAUUGGGGCUAAUACCGGAUAUGACCGCUGACCGCAUGGUCUGGUGGUGGAAAGAUUUAUCGGCUGGGGAUGGGCCCGCGGCCUAUCAGCUUGUUGGUGGGGUAGUGGCCUACCAAGGCGACGACGGGUAGCCGGCCUGAGAGGGUGACCGGCCACACUGGGACUGAGACACGGCCCAGACUCCUACGGGAGGCAGCAGUGGGGAAUAUUGCGCAAUGGGCGAAAGCCUGACGCAGCGACGCCGCGUGGGGGAUGACGGCCUUCGGGUUGUAAACCUCUUUCAGCAGGGACGAAGCGAAAGUGACGGUACCUGAAGAAGAAGCACCGGCCAACUACGUG
rnacentral:rRNA from 1 species